ACCAGCCCACUGGAUUAAGCCUCAACACAAGCAGGACACCUUAACAAAUUUGUUUUCACUAACUUUUCUUUUAUUCACAGGCUUUUUGAGGCUAGGUAAUUUCAUAAUAGAGAAACCCUGGAUCAAUCUCCUCUGUGGGAACUCUAGCUGCCUUUCCCAUAUCACCAUCCAUCUUCGGCAGGAAGCAGUUAAGAGUGGUCGGCAUCCUAUUUCCCUAAGAGUCAGUUGGAGCUUCUAGGCAGAGUGGGAAGAUUGAUACAGAAUUUCAUUAUUUUGGGGCUGAAUAACAAGCACCAGCAGGAAGGAAAGCUCCUCGGUGAGGAGAACAACUGAAAUAACCAACGACAGAUUUUCUCCCUUGCCUAUCCAAAAAUGUCUUUAAUACACUAAAGGGGGGAAAUGUAGAGGCCACCAAGAGCCACGAGACCUCUGAGCAAGAUGAUUUGCAGCUGAGAGGUGGACCCUUGGGCAAUUCGUCCACAGGUGCUCCUGGUGGAGAAAGAGCCCAAGCCCAGGGCGAUCCUUAGGUGCACAGUCAUUGUCUAACACUCCCCUCACCUGUCUUGUGCUGUGUCAAUAAAAGGUUACUGCGGAGGUUGCUCAGAGCCAUCCUGCAAAUAAGGUCAGCCUGCCUCCUGCAAGCUUGUACUUC